rnacentral:lncRNA from 1 species
CAGGCGCCCCCUCCCCGGCCUCCCUGGUGGUGCUGCGGCGGCGGCAGAAGGUGGGUCCCUGGGUGGGGGGGUGUGACACACGUGGGGGGGGUCCAUUUGUGCCCCCCCCCCGCUCAGUGUCCCCUGCUGUCCCCAGGGCUGUCCCCAGUGGGAGGCGGUGGCCGCCCCCCGGCUGGAGGCGGGGGUCCGGGCCCACGUCCUGCGGGCGCUCAACGGGGGGGACCCGGCGCAGCUGCGGGGGCUGGGGCCCCGCCGGGGGGGGCGCGUCCACGCCUGGCGCCAGGAGCACGGCCCCUUCCGCACGGUCAGUGCCUGUCACCUCCCCGCUGUCACCCCCCUCCCCGCUGUCACCCCCCGUGUCUUCUUGUCACCUCCCCGGGUCACCUUGUGUCACCCUCGGUGUGUCACCUGUUGUCACCCUGUGCCACCCCCGGGUGUCCCCUGGUGUGCCCCGUGUCACGGUGUCACCUCACAGGGUCCCCACGCGUGUCCCACACCACCCCCAGAUGUCCUGUGUCACCCUGUGCCACUCCCAGGUGUCCCCUGCCAUGUCCCACGGCACUGUGUCACCUCCCAGUGUCCCCAUGCGUGUCCCAUGUCACCCUGUGCCACCCCUGGGUGUCCCCUGGUAUGCCCCAUGUCACCCUGUGCCACCCCUGGGUGUCCCCUGGCAUGCCCCGCGUCACCCCGUGCCAACCCACCGGGGCACCCAGUGUCCCUGCCACCCCCCCGCCCGGUGCUGUCCCCGGGUGCCCCUGUCCCCACGGGUGCCCCUGUCCCCGCAGGUGGAGGACCUGGCGGCGGUGCCCGGCUUCUCGGCGGCGCAGGUGGCCACGCUGCUGCAGGCCAAUGUCCCCGCUGCCCUGGGGACAGCCCCGUCGUUGUCCCCCGGACCCCAAUAAACAGCCGCGAACGCCGACCCCGCCUGGCUGCGUGCGCGUGGGGGCGGGGACAAGGGGAGGGGCUCCUGGAGGUGGCCCCAAGUUCAGUAGGUGGCCCUCAGCCACCAAGGUGUCCCCAAGCCGAGGAGGUGACCCCGAGCAACCAAGGUGUCCCCAGGCUGAGGAGGUGACCCCAAGGUUCCAAGGUGAUACAAAGGAGGUGAUCCCAAGCCAUCAAGGUGACCCCUCAGCCUUCAAGGGUCCCCAAACAAAGGUGAUCCUGAGUCACCAAAACCCAAAGCCAAGGAGGUGA